UGGGGAAUCUUGCGCAAUGGGCGAAAGCCUGACGCAGCGACGCCGCGUGAGUGAUGAAGGCCUUCGGGUUGUAAAGCUCUGUGGGGAGGGACGAAUAAGUCGUGGCUAACAUCCACGAUGAUGACGGUACCUCUUUAGCAAGCACCGGCUAACUCUGUGCCAGCAGCCGCGGUAAGACAGAGGGUGCAAACGUUGUUCGGAAUUACUGGGGCGUAAAGCGCGUGUAGGCAGCCGCGCAAGUCGGAUGUGAAAGCCCUGGGCUCAACCUAGGAAGUGCAUUCGAAACUGCGAGGCUGGAGUCCUGGAGAGGAAGGCGGAAUUCUCGGUGUAGAGGUGAAAUUCGUAGAUAUCGAGAGGAACACCGGUGGCGAAGGCGGCCUUCUGGACAGUGACUGACGCUGAGACGCGAAAGCGUGGGGAGCAAACAGGAUUAGAUACCCUGGUAGUCCACGCCGUAAACGAUGGGUGCUAGGUGUCAGGGGCUUUGACCCCUCUGGUGCC
rnacentral:rRNA from 1 species